AUGAAUAGGAAGUAAUCUCAAGGGAAAGGUGGGAGAAAGAACUGGGCAAGGACUUCUGAAGAAGGCAGGGUUGAGAGGAAUUUUUUUUUAAAACUCUUACUUAGUAAUGACUCUAAGAAGGGCAAGGGUUAAGCAAAUAGGUUAAGUGACUUGGUCAGGGUCACACAACUAGGAAGUAUCUGUGGCAAAAUUUGAACUUCUGACUUUGGGCUUGGCACUCUGUCCACUGAACCACCUAGCUGCACCUGGCUGAGAAGAGUCUUGAAAGAAGUCAGGGGGGCCAGGAGUCAGAGGUGAGAAGGGAAAGCAUUCCAGGCACGGCAAAGGGUCAGUCCGGAGACGGAGUGGCAACUUAGCAGAUGGUCUUAUCCAAAUUCAUGUCUCCCCCAGUUCCCAGAAAAGGCCUCAGAGGCCCCCAAUAGGCUCUCAAUCUGUAGUUUGUUUGUUUUUAACCCUUACCGUACCGUUUUAGAAUCAUACCGUGUAUUGGUUCCAAGGAAGAAGAGAAGGGGUUGGGCAAUGGGGGUCAGUGACUUAACCAGAGUCUCACAGCUAGAAAGUGUCAGGAUUAUUAUGGAAGGAAGUGGACAUUGGCUCAGGGCAGAGAGAAUUUCUAUUAGCAGGAGGAAAUCUACUAUUUGGGUCUUCUUCAGCAGAAAUGCUCGUAAGUUAAUAAAUUG
rnacentral:lncRNA from 1 species